UGCAGUCGAGCGGACAGAUGGGAGCUUGCUCCCUGAUGUUAGCGGCGGACGGGUGAGUAACACGUGGGUAACCUGCCUGUAAGACUGGGAUAACUCCGGGAAACCGGGGCUAAUACCGGAUGGUUGUUUGAACCGCAUGGUUCAAACAUAAAAGGUGGCUUCGGCUACCACUUACAGAUGGACCCGCGGCGCAUUAGCUAGUUGGUGAGGUAAUGGCUCACCAAGGCAACGAUGCGUAGCCGACCUGAGAGGGUGAUCGGCCACACUGGGACUGAGACACGGCCCAGACUCCUACGGGAGGCAGCAGUAGGGAAUCUUCCGCAAUGGACGAAAGUCUGACGGAGCAACGCCGCGUGAGUGAUGAAGGUUUUCGGAUCGUAAAGCUCUGUUGUUAGGGAAGAACAAGUACCGUUCGAAUAGGGCGGUACCUUGACGGUACCUAACCAGAAAGCCACGGCUAACUACGUGCCAGCAGCCGCGGUAAUACGUAGGUGGCAAGCGUUGUCCGGAAUUAUUGGGCGUAAAGGGCUCGCAGGCGGUUUCUUAAGUCUGAUGUGAAAGCCCCCGGCUCAACCGGGGAGGGUCAUUGGAAACUGGGGAACUUGAGUGCAGAAGAGGAGAGU
rnacentral:rRNA from 1 species